rnacentral:tRNA from 1 species
GUCAGGAUGGCCGAGUGGUCUAAGGCGCCAGACUCAAGGUAAUUGCCUUGCCUACGGGCGUUCUGGUCUCCGGAUGGAGGCGUGGGUUCGAAUCCCACUUCUGACA